GUGGGUUUAGCUCAUUUGGUAGAGCGCCGCUCUGUGGCAGCGGAGGUAGCGGGAUCGUAGCCCGUAACCCACCCCA
rnacentral:tRNA from 7 species